UGCCGUUUUAAGUAUCGCGCGAUUUUCGUAUUCAGAUACGCAUGCGAGCAAUGCAUGCGCCGCGAACGCGUGUGAUUCAAUGUGAGUGCUUCGAAGGACCACUGAGAGGAGGAGGAGGCUCAGGAGGAGCAUCGGGCGCCGGCGGAGCAACUUUACGAUCAUCAACUAUGCAGAUCAACAGAAUGACAACUCCGCUGCUGCGCAUCAAUCGGUGCCUAAGAUGCCUUAUUACGUCGCAGACGCUGUUAUUAAAAGGAACGCGCCCUCGUAUACAAGUAUAUAUGCGUAUAUAUAUAUUAUAUAUAUAUACGUAUACAU